rnacentral:rRNA from 1 species
UGGGGAAUAUUGCGCAAUGGGGGGAACCCUGACGCAGCCAUGCCGCGUGAAUGAAGAAGGCCUUCGGGUUGUAAAGUUCUUUCGGUAUUGAGGAAGGUUGAUGUGUUAAUAGCACAUCAAAUUGACGUUAAAUACAGAAGAAGCACCGGCUAACUCCGUGCCAGCAGCCGCGGUAAUACGGAGGGUGCGAGCGUUAAUCGGAAUAACUGGGCGUAAAGGGCACGCAGGCGGUUAUUUAAGUGAGGUGUGAAAGCCCCGGGCUUAACCUGGGAAUUGCAUUUCAGACUGGGUAACUAGAGUACUUUAGGGAGGGGUAGAAUUCCACGUGUAGCGGUGAAAUGCGUAGAGAUGUGGAGGAAUACCGAAGGCGAAGGCAGCCCCUUGGGAAUGUACUGACGCUCAUGUGCGAAAGCGUGGGGAGCAAACAGGAUUAGAUACCCUGGUAGUCCACGCUGUAAACGCUGUCGAUUUGGGGGUUGGGGUUUAACUCUGGCGCCCGUAGCUAACGUGAUAAAUCGACCGCCUAGGGAGUACGGCCGCAAGGUUA